CUACCCGCUGAACUUAAGCAUAUCAAUAAAGCGGAGGAA
rnacentral:rRNA from 1 species